AUUGAACGCUGGCGGCAGGCUUAACACAUGCAAGUCGAGCGGGGUGAUGGUGCUUGCACUAUCACUUAGCGGCGGACGGGUGAGUAAUGCUUAGGAAUCUGCCUAUUAGUGGGGGACAACAUCUCGAAAGGGAUGCUAAUACCGCAUACGUCCUACGGGAGAAAGCAGGGGAUCACUUGUGACCUUGCGCUAAUAGAUGAGCCUAAGGCGGAUUAGCUAGUUGGUGGGGUAAAGGCCUACCAAGGCGACGAUCUGUAGCGGGUCUGAGAGGAUGAUCCGCCACACUGGGACUGAGACACGGCCCAGACUCCUACGGGAGGCAGCAGUGGGGAAUAUUGGACAAUGGGGGGAACCCCGAUCCAGCCAUGCCGCGUGUGUGAAGAAGGCCUUAUGGUUGUAAAGCACUUUAAGCGAGGAGGAGGCUCUUUUGGUUAAUACCCAGAAUGAGUGGACGUUACUCGCAGAAUAAGCACCGGCUAACUCUGUGCCAGCCGCCGCCGUAA
rnacentral:rRNA from 1 species